rnacentral:rRNA from 1 species
UACGUAGGGGGCGAGCGUUUGUCCGGAUUCAUUGGGCGUAAAGAGCUCGUAGGCGGCUUGGUAAGUCGGGUGUGAAACCUCCAGGCUCAACCUGGAGACGCCACUCGAUACUGCCAUGGCUAGAGUCCGGUAGGGGCCCACGGAAUUCCUGGUGUAGCGGUGAAAUGACGCAGAUAUCAGGAGGAACACCGGUGGCGAAGGCGGUGGGCUGGGCCGGUACUGACGCUGAGGAGCGAAAGCGUGGGGAGCGAACAGG